rnacentral:lncRNA from 1 species
CGGGGUCCCAGUGGAGCCAAGGGAGACCUGGGAGCCAAAGGAGGCAAGGGUCUGCGUGGAGCACCAGGAGCUGCGGGUCCCCCGGGGCUGCGGGGUCAGAUGGGCUCAUUGGGCUUCCCAGGACCCCGCGGGGCAGCAGGACCCCGAGGACCUGAGGGAGAAGAAGGGCAGAUGGGUCCAGUGGGGCUGAACAGCAGUGAAGGACCGAAGGGAGGCCGAGGACCUGACGGCCCAAAGGGAAUGCCAGGACCACGGGGUGCCAGGGGUCGUGGGGGCCAGCGUGGGCUGGUUGGAGUCCCAGGACCUCCUGGCUCAAGAGGCAUCCCUGGAGCAGAAGGCACAGAAGGAAAGCCUGGUAUACAGGGUCCCCCCGGGGCUGUGGGCAGCCCAGGCAGGAUGGGAGCACCGGGCUUUGUUGGUGUGCAGGGGGGCAGAGGGCACGCAGGACCUCCUGGACCCACAGUAAGGACAACCUGCACGGAUCCCCCCCCUUUUCC